rnacentral:rRNA from 1 species
UAGAGUUAUUCUACACCAUGCCACCCUGACAGUGGUGUCAGAUCUAAAGCAACUCCCUGGUUUCUCCAUGGCAUCUUCCUUGUGUGCUUUAGCCAGGGCCCACAGGGUGGAAGAUAUUGGUAUGAUUG